ACAGUAUGUGGGAAUUAUGGGAGCUAUAAUUCAAGAUGAGAUUUGGGUGGGACACAGCCAAACCAUAUCACUAGGUAAGAAGAGGGCUCCAUGCUAAGGAACAGGAUAUGCAAAGACCCUGUGGCAGGAGGAACUCUACCUGCUUUUUUGAAGAAUUCCAUAAGGUAGCCUUCAGUGGAGCUGAGUAGAGAGUGGGGGAGAGUGGGCUAAAACAUGAGGGGAGAAGUAGGCAAAAGCUAAAUCUCAUCAGGACCUUAUAGACAAUUGACAGAUGUUUGUCUUUAUCCAGUAAGGUGUUUGUAUGCUCCUUAAGUGGCAGCGGGGAGUGAGCAGAGCAGUGAAGAUAAACAUGAAAGCUGGUGGUAACAAAUUCUGAUACCUCCUCUAUUCCAAAAGGAAAGGCAGAACUCAGAGGCACCAUCCUCCUGUUGUGUUUGCAAGCUGUUGACACAACCUGGAAAGGUUAAAAGUUUUCAACAGACUUGUCAGAGUUUGUGUUCAAUGGAAACUGACAGAGCCUACCGGCUGAGGGGCUAAUUUUAAUAGAAAUAACCUAGGUGCGUUUGUUAAUUUUCUCCGUUCCCUCAAUGACCUGUCUGCAUAGCGUGAAGGUGCUUUGAUGUGACCAGGAGAACAGAAGGAUAUUUUGUGCAUAGCUGACCGUGAGAGGAAUGCUGGUUUUGCAAUGAGGAAGCACAGGAAGAUGACAGAACAAUGAGCAUAAGACAUGCUGGGUGCAUUUUUUGGACCUUACCACAUCUUGUUUGAGAGAAGUGGGACCAAUGCUGAUGAAACUCUUUCCCAUGGUGUGUUCUAUAUUCAUUGGAUGGGCAUCGCCUACGGCUGGAGCAGGGCUGAGCUCUGUACUGGUGUCUCUUAAAACACACCAGACAGCAACAGCUGAGAUACCUACUACCUGGAUCUGCUUGAUUAGAUCAUACGGUCAUAUUUGAUUACUUAGAAUGGGCUUCUGGAGGAUCUGUUGCUGAUUGCACUGAAACCAGAAGUUGUACUUGGCCAAGGACGAGCUAACCCCAAACAGCAAGAGGUUUGAGUUGGCUCCAAAGCACAAGCCUCACAAAUAUCCCGUGAGUCUCCCACAGGCUUGGGGCUCUCUGUUUAGAAUUAGAACCUAAUCUUCAAAUAUCCCUUUACCCUCUUGCCUCAAAAAGGAAGGCAGUGAAGAGCAGCAGCAAGGCAUCCUGGAUGAGCACUGGAAGGGGAGAAUGCUCAUGUUUUAGUCGUGGGCUUUCCACCAGUUAGCUGUGCAGCUUUGGGCAGAUACUUGAACUUCUCUGGUGCUCUGUUUCUUCAUGUUUAAAUGAGAGGAUUAAACUGUAUGACUUUUGGGUCGAAAGUACGUCUCUGCCAUCAGUAUCAUAACAAUUAUUGAAAUUGCUGCCUAGAAUCUUCCGCUACCACAGUGUAUUUUGAUUGGACUGUUUAUUGCCUUAGCAAACACAAUGCAGUGCUGUGUCUUUGGCAUCUUGCCAGGAAAGAUGAGCCAAUUUUCUCGUGUUGCUUCUGGAUGUCAAAACAUUCUCAUCUGACCAUGCCACAGAAGAAGUUUGUUGAGAGUGUGACUGACUGACAUAAUGACUGAUUGGCUGAUAACGGCAGCUGACAGUGAUUGAUUGAGUGUAAAAUUAUCUGUUCUCAUUACUUCUGAAAUUGAAUUCAGAUUGGUUCUAUUGGAGGGUUUCCAUGGAGACCAUAACCUGCUAUAGCAAGUGUUUGUGGAUGCAAUGUUUUAUUGUGAUCAAUACCUGUUUCCUCUGCUGGUCCAAAGAAAUUAUUAAUGAUUAUAGUCAAGUAGAAAGAGGCAACCAUAUAUAAGAAGAAAAAAACUCUCAUAUUUUGUCUCAUUGCUACAUAAAACAAAUGUGGGCCUUCCCAGACUUGCGCUUUGGCUAACUAGUUCAUAAUACGUUCGAUAACUUGCCAUUCUUCUUUUGCUAUUAAUGCAGAGGGUUUGCUUUGGAAAAAAGAAAAGUAUUUCUAGGACUCUUUCUCUCUUUGAAGAAGAUCAGAAUAAUAGACGAAUGUUCAUACUUGGUUUUUUUUUAAAUGCGAUGUUACAGAAACAACAAACAUUUAAUCAAAUCUUAAACACACCCAUGUUAAUGCAGAGACAGAGAUGGUCCCUCAGGCUUUUUCUGGGUUGUUUCCAUGAAUGAUAAAGUCAUUAAACAAUUUCAUAGGCUUGCCUUAUUGAUCUCUCACAAUGGCAUGCUAUGUCUGCUCUUCAGGAAAGCCUUUCCUGACUGCCCCCAUCAGAGUUAAUUACUACUUACUCUGUGUUCGCAUGGCCUUCUUCCAUCUUCUAUUAUAGCAUUCAUCUCAGGCCACCUUGCCUUACAAUUACUUGUAUCUCUUUUUCCCACUAGAUUAUGACCUCCUUGAGGACAGGGUGAUUUUCUUGUUGCUCUUUGUAUUAUCCUCAGCAUCUAGGUGAAUCUCUGAUACAUCACAAGGGUUCAAUAAAUGCUCAUUGAAUUGAAUUAACUGGAUCUGCAUUCCAAGGUCAUCUCUUCCUAGACUGGUGUUGAAUGGGAUUCCCAUGAAGUGAGGCAGCAGAGUGCGUGCUUGCUGGUUCUGUUGCUUUGUCUCCUGCCCUGUGGCUGCGUCUGUGCCCAAGAGGAUUGUUAGGAUAUAUUGUGCUACAGGAGAUUGAUAUUGUAUAGGAUGUCUGUACAGCUUAUAGACUGGUGCUGACCGUACUGAAAUGAUGGUGGGAGGAUACCUAAUAAGGAUUCUAUUUUAUGCUUAGCUGUAUUCAUUCAUUGGUUUGGUUGGAAUCUGCUUCAGCGUACUUCCUCUACCCAAAUUUGGCUCAUUAGCUGAAAUCACUUUGGGAUGAAUCCACUGUUAAUAGUGGCUAACAUUUUUCAUGCACUUACGACAUGUCUGGCACAGUACUAAGUACUUUACAUAUUUUUCAAUUCUUACACAUUGCUCCCAUUAUCCCAUUUUGAAGAUAAGGAGACUGAAGCACAGAGUGUUUAUUUCCUAAGGUCACACAGCUAGGAAGUAGAGGAGCUAGGAUUUGAAUUCCUAUAGUCUAGCUUCCUACCCCAUUCUUAAGCUAUCUACCCUGUUGCCGCCUGACAAAAGUGUGUUUCAAAAUUUAAUUCCUGAACUGACUGCAUCAAAAUCCCCUGUAGUGUUUGUUAAAAGUGAAGAUACCCCAAGACCUACUGAUUCAGGUUGUUUUCACCGAGGCCAGCAAAUCUGCACCAACAUGUUUUAUUCUGUUCUGUACCUCAAGCUUUGAUGCUGCUUUGUUUUCUUGUUUUGGGAGAAGGGCAGGGGUGGGGGUGGAGGCAAGCGAGUCCAAUACUACAACUUUAGAAAUCUCUGCUCUAGGGUGAACACUCUCUUUGAGACUUCUAAAUUAAAGUCAAGUCUUUUGGAUUUUUGUUUCUUUGUACUGCCUAACUUUAGAAAGACCUGGAAGCGGUAACAUGAAAACAUUUUUAGAGAGAAUUACCAGGCAUUUUUGGUAGAAUGAGUGUUUAAUGGAACAGUCCAGAGAACUCAUCAAAGAUGUUUAUUAAAACGCGCAGACCUGCUCCAAUUAAGGGCCCAGUCAGUGGUGUUAACAGUGAAGGGACUGUUCCAGAGGCGUGCUGCACGGGACGCCCACCCCAAAUACAAAUGGUUUGCCAGUAGCUCACAAAUGAACCCCAUUGCCUUGCACUUAAGCUUCCUGAAGCACAUACAUAUCCUGCUUUGUGCUUUCCGCCCUAUAGUAAACGCAAACCAAUGGAGAUGUGAAGCAAUCUAAUAGCAACAAGGCAAACCUCUACUUCCUCUAAAGAGGAUUGCAUCCUCUUGCUAUCUUUGCCGAUGCUCUCCUACAGACCCAUCCCUGUCAUGUCUUUCCUGUCUUUCUAGUAGAAUUCUGGCUGCUCCCGUAGGACCUCCUUGCGGGAAUUUUCCCUGGUUGCUGCCUCCAAGGAGAGGCUCCCCACCAGAAAGUUUUAAGAGGCUUAUGCUUCUGGGGUUAAUGCGGUCCUUUCUGUCACCUUGUUUUCUGUUCCUAGUUAUCUUUCGGUAACUUUUUUCCUAAACUACUCUGAAAGGCAUAGACUGUCUCUUGAAAGCUCAUCUGUUCUUAACCCCUUUCCCUCAUUCCACUGACUGCAGCAUCUUCCACAUACCAUUCCCUCUUAGCAUUUAUGUCCAUGUCAUGCUUUUGUUGGUUUAUUUGUGUAUUUUCUGCUUCCCACCAUUAGAUCAUUUGUAGAAUUAAUGAAUGCCUAUGGGUUAAUAGAUUUUUCGCUGUAUCCUCUUUUCUCUGUAUCUCUCUGCCCAGUUGCUUAGAAAUGCUUCUGUUUGUGUAUUUGUAUCCACCUUCUUUGGGGAGAGUUAUGACCCUGGUCCUUAUGCCAUCAGUGGUAUUGCAAUUUUGUAUGUAGCAUGACCAUUUUUAAAAAUGACAUUUCAUAGUGAGUGAUUCAGACACCUAUCAUUCAGCUUACCUGCCGGGGCCCUCCAAAAUGAGCAGAAGGCCUCUGUCUCAUUCUAGAAGCUUGAAGGUCUCCACGUGGUUUGCCCAGGGGCCCACAACCUCCCUGCAGUCCAGGAGUGCUCCCAUUAACCCCAGCUGUGUGAUUCAGACCAGAUUCUUAGGACUUUUUAAGUGAAAUGGGACAGAAAAUUGCUUGAUGUAUUUUGCCACAUGAAGUACAUUUUGCUGCCGCUUAGUUCUUUAUUGUCGUUAGAUUAAAAACUCUCCUAACGUUGUGUGGGUAAGUAAAAAUCUUUUUAUUUUUAUCUGGUAUGUUUUGAAAAAAAGGAAAAAAGAAACUAGACAUUGUCAAAAUAUUUGCUUAAUCUUGCAGAUUUGGGAAGUUGUAUAGCCACUCGCUCUGACAGACCAGAACAAUGGUCAUUAAAUGAGAAGCAGAUGUAAUAAAGUAUGCAGUAAAAGCCUUCUAUUAUGGGCUGGAAGGGGAAAAAAAUGAGUUGUUAACAGAACACAGUAAGCAUUAUGGAAUAAAUCAGAACAAAACCAUUCCCAAUUACUGUACAAAGAUAAUUAAAGUCUACAAUGCUAAUUAAGGUCUGUUUAUAUCUAUUUCUGUUUGUGUACAAACAUAUGCGCAUAGUUAAAUAUUUUCCAUUGUUUUUUAUGUGAUGCUAACUUCAUAGUUGAAUUUUUCUGAAUUUAACUUUUGUUUUUAUGUUACCAGGAAGUACAAUCUCCAGAAAACUGAAACUCCAGCUUUUCCUCCUUGAUCGUAGCUUAUUUUUCUUGGCUAACUUCAGAAAAUUCUUCAAGCCAGGAGGCUUUCUAAGCUUACUCCUGAUGCAGUUAAAACUCAAAGGUUUCUGGAAGCCAAUGAAAAUCCUCACCUCUGACUGAAAUGGAAUUUCAAGGGAAAGAAAAUACAACGUAUUUUAUGAGGCUGCCACUGCUAGUUCCUGCAGUCAUCUCUCCGAUAUCAUGACUCAAGCCCUCCGGUCGUCUUGGCCACGUUCCCCCUGGUUUAUCCAUAUUCCACGUAAACUGUGUUCAUCAUACUGAAAACAGACCCCUGGAGGAAUUCUGAGGUCCAAGGAUUUGGGCAAGGUCAUUACCUCCUUUUUCCUGGACCAUCUUCUUCAAUUAAUGCAACCUAAGACUGCAAUAAGCUCUUUUACAGGUAUAUAAUUUUGUAUCAUUUGGAGCAUAUUCUUAGAAUUGUUUGGUGUUCUUUCCCCCAUGUAUGCAGCUGAUUUUUAAAAACAGAUCUGUGAUCUAUAGCAAGUUGCUCAAUCUCUUUAAGCCCCACAUUUUUGGUGAGUAAAAUAAUAAUAGCACAGACUUCAUGGCAUUGUGGUGGUGAACAGAUGAGCACCUACGCUUCUCAAUACAGCGUCUUCUACAUAAUAACUUCAAUAAAUAUGAACUAGUAUAAUUAUUGUGUUAUUGGAAAAUUAGAAAUUGCAGGUGAGCAAAAGGCCUUUCUUCCAAACAUUUUUUUUUGUGUAUUUCAAUGUAAUUAAUUUUUUUUACUUAAAAAUUUUGAAUUAAUAUCUCAACUUAUAAGAGCAGCUUUGUCAGUAUAUUUUAAAUGAUUCCCACAAUGCUGAUUUAGGCAUUUUACAUUUUGAUAUGCAUUUUUAGCUGGUUUUCAAAGUCACAAGGCUCUAAGGAAAAGAACUAAUCCUUAGUUGGCAGGAAAGUCCCUCCCCAAAUCCUUGGAUUAAAAUAGAAUCUGCCGCCAGGGCUUUCCUUGUCUUCUGUGAUUGAGAUCUGUCUCAGGUGGGAAGGCAUCCGGUACCUGUGCAUGGCAAGUUCAUUCUUUAGAGAUAGAAUGUGCAACUUUAAUAUUUAUUGAUAGGCACACUAAUUCUCUUGCUGAUGGUAAUUAAUGAGGUGCUUAUAUCUUAUUUUGCGGUAGUUUAACGAGCUUCGGGCUAUAGGAGAGAUCCGGUGCUUGCUGUAAAUGCUGAGAAUCAAAGAUGCUGGAGGAAAAUGCAGAAAAUGGAGCAGAAAAAAUAAGGUUUUAGCAGAUAAAAUAUCUCAGAUUAAAAACACUCUCAAAACAAACCUUGGUAAGGCAGAAGCAUUUAAAAAUCAGGGAGAGCUUGCCAGGGAGGAAAGUCGCAGGUUCCCUAUUCCUUGUUCCCUAAGCAUGCUGUUAAUUUUGACCACCCAUUUGUCUUUCUACCCCUUUGGCUUCGUCUGUGUUAGCAGUGUGAAGUGAAAAAUUGAUAGGAAAAUGUAUUUUUUUUCUUAAGGCUUAGAUAGUUACAGCCAAAACAUUUUGUCAUAUUGGGUUUUGAAUAAUUGUGUCAAAUCUACACUUAAUUUUGCCUUAGACAGCUAGCCUUAUGACCCUAGUUAACCUGUAUUUUCUCUUAUUCUUUCAUCCUUUGGAAAUGAGGUUCACAGAAUACAAAUUCAGAAGAGCAUAAAUUCUAACUCCUUAGAAGACAGGAAUAGAAGUCAAAGUGACCUCAAUAAAUCAAAAGCAAGUUGAAGUUCAAUAGGGACAAAUGUAAGGUAGGAUACUUAUGCCUAAUAGACGGACUCACAAUUUUAAAAUCAUCUGGGCAUGAUUGUGAUGGAAAAGUGUCUCUCUGUCAAGGACAUGAGGAAGCCACAUCCGCAGCCUUGUCUAAGGACCUACUAUGUGCCAGGCAUUUUGCAUAAGUCAGCUUGCUUACAAAUACACUGUAAUAAUCUCAACAGUAACUCUCAAAGCUGUGUAUAAUUUGUGCUCUCAUUUUAUAGAUGUGGAAGCUGAGGCCGAGAGAGGGUAAAUAAUUUGCUCAAAUGUUCACAGUUAGUGAUUUAACUGGUUUUGGAUCCUGCUGUAUCUACUUGACCAAGAGUACUUCAUUACAGAGCUGUUAUUUAAAAAGCCAACCCGGCCGGGUGCGGUGGCUCACGCCUGUGAUCCCAGCACUUUGGGAGGCCGAGGCGGGCAGAUCACAAUGUCAGGAGAUCGAGACCAUCCUGGCUAAUAUGAUGAAGCCCUGUCUCUACUAAAAAUACAAAAAAUUAGCCUGGCGUGGUGGCGGGCGCCUGUAGACGCAGCUACUCGGGAGGCUGAGGCAGGAUAAUGGCGUGAACCCGGGAGGCAGAGCUUGCAGUGAGCCGAAAUUGCGCCACUGCACUCCAGCCUGGGCAACCGAGCGAGACACCCUCCAAAAAAAAAAAAAAAAAAAAAAAGCCAACCCAGUUCUUGGCUAUAGUAACUGAGACUUUACUUGAGAACCAGAUAAUAACCUUUCCAGUAUACUAUACAUUAAUUAAAAUUUAAAAGAAAAAUGAAUAGGAGAAACUGGAGCAAGUCCAAAAAUACCCCACCCAACAACAAAGGCAACAAGAGAAAUUUUUUAAAUUGGCCUAAUAGGUAACAGGCUCAAGGUGUUUGGGAUUGCUUAGCUAGGAAGAAUGCAGCUACAGGGUGAGCGACACACUAAUCCUGUAGACAUCUAAAAGGCAAUAAUAAAGAUUCACAUUUUACAUCAGUAUUUGCAGGUAACAAAGCACUUCCCUGUCAGUUGUCUUACUGGUUUCUCACAGCAGUCAUCCGGAGCAGAAGUCAGCAAACUUUUCUGUAAAGGGCUAGAUAGUUAAAUAUGUUUGGCUUUAUGGGCCAUGCGGUCUCUGUCACAACUCCGCAACAAAAGCAGCCAGAGGCAGUUCAUAAACAAAUGGGCAUGACUGUGAUCCAAUAAAACUCUAUUUACAAGAAGAUGUGACGAGCUGGAUUUGGUUCUCAAGCUGUGGUUAUGUGAAUACAUAUUAUCGUUUCCAUUAUUCAGAUGAGAAAAUUGAGGCUCAGAAAAGUAAAGUGACUUAUCCUAUGCAACUGAAUGAAUAAACAAUGUGUCUGGAACGAGAAUUCACUUUCUGUGGUUAUAGUUUGGUGCUCCAUGAAGUAAAUUGAAGACAUGUACCCAGAAAGAUUUCAGGGAAGUUUGUCAUCCCAAGAUACCAUUUGCCUGUGAUUGUAAUUAAAAUUGGGAGCAGAUGAAUCAAGAAGUUAGAUGAGGCUGGGAGCGCGGUGGCUCACACCUAUAAUCCCAGCAUUUUGGGAGGCCAAGGCAGGCGGAUCACUUGAGCUGAGGAGUUCA
rnacentral:lncRNA from 1 species